rnacentral:lncRNA from 10 species
CCAGCCAAAAAAUAGUUAUUAUUUUCAUACAUCUUAGUAUUUUAUUUUCCUAAGGACUAUCCUCAUGAAAUAUAUACAUACAUUAUACAUUUACACAUAUGCAUAUACAUAUUUGAGAAUACACACACUUUGGCUUCUUAGGCCAUCUUAGCUUUAUUUUAAAUAUAAAGAAACUGGUGCUGAUUCUGCAUAUCAUAUAUAUUUGACUAUACUUCUAUAAAGCAGAAGUCAAGAGCCAUGAUUAUUGUGCAACAGUAUCUGCACAAUUAGAAUAUUAGCAAUAGCACAGUUUUACUUUUGUUUUACAGUUUUCGAACUAUAAAUCAAGUAUGAAUGGCUGAUGGAAAGCCGAGGCUAGCAAAUAGAUGAUAAACCAUGUUACCAUGGGAGGGCAGUGAUUGCAUUUGCAACCCAUUCUUGCCAAAGAGAAAUUCGGAAGCACACUUCAAGGAACUAAGUUCAGUGAUAAUCACACUUGAUUGAUUUUCAGUACUGUCACAGUUUGAGAACUAUUUAUUGCCCUGAUUUGCUCUUUUCUCUGCCCUGUAUUAAAGAUCUUGCAUGACAG